rnacentral:rRNA from 1 species
GGGUUGUGAGGUUAAGCGACUAAGCGUACACGGUGGAUGCCCUGGCAGUCAGAGGCGAUGAAGGACGUGCUAAUCUGCGAAAAGCGUCGGUAAGGUGAUAUGAACCGUUAUAACCGGCGAUGUCCGAAUGGGGAAACCCAGUGCAAUUCGUUGCACUAUCGUUAACUGAAUACAUAGGUUAACGAGGCGAACCGGGGGAACUGAAACAUCUAAGUACCCCGAGGAAAAGAAAUCAACCGAGAUUCCCCCAGUAGCGGCGAGCGAACGGGGAGCAGCCCAGAGUCUGAAUCAGCUUGUGUGUUAGUGGAACGGUCUGGAAAGUCCGACGGUACAGGGUGAUAGUCCCGUACACCAAAAUGCACAGGCUGUGAACUCGAAGAGUAGGGCGGGACACGUGGUAUCCUGUCUGAAUAUGGGGGGACCAUCCUCCAAGGCUAAAUACUCCUGACUGACCGAUAGUGAACCAGUACCGUGAGGGAAAGGCGAAAAGAACCCCGGCGAGGGGAGUGAAAAAGAACCUGAAACCGUGUACGUACAAGCAGUGGGAGCACCUUCGGGUGUGACUGCGUACCUUUUGUAUAAUGGGUCAGCGACUUAUAUUCUGUAGCAAGGUUAACCGUAUAGGGGAGCCGCAGGGAAACCGAGUCUUAACUGGGCGUUAAGUUGCAGGGUAUAGACCCGAAACCCGGUGAUCUAGCCAUGGGCAGGUUGAAGGUUGGGUAACACUAACUGGAGGACCGAACCGACUAAUGUUGAAAAAUUAGCGGAUGACUUGUGGCUGGGGGUGAAAGGCCAAUCAAACCGGGAGAUAGCUGGUUCUCCCCGAAAGCUAUUUAGGUAGCGCCUCGUGAAUUCAUCUUCGGGGGUAGAGCACUGUUUCGGCUAGGGGGUCAUCCCGACUUACCAACCCGAUGCAAACUACGAAUACCGAAGAAUGUUAUCACGGGAGACACACGGCGGGUGCUAACGUCCGUCGUGAAGAGGGAAACAACCCAGACCGCCAGCUAAGGUCCCAAAGUCAUGGUUAAGUGGGAAACGAUGUGGGAAGGCACAGACAGCCAGGAUGUUGGCUUAGAAGCAGCCAUCAUUUAAAGAAAGCGUAAUAGCUCACUGGUCGAGUCGGCCUGCGCGGAAGAUGUAACGGGGCUAAACCAUGCACCGAAGCUGCGGCAGCGACACUAUGUGUUGUUGGGUAGGGGAGCGUUCUGUAAGCCUGCGAAGGUGUGCUGUGAGGCAUGCUGGAGGUAUCAGAAGUGCGAAUGCUGACAUAAGUAACGAUAAAGCGGGUGAAAAGCCCGCUCGCCGGAAGACCAAGGGUUCCUGUCCAACGUUAAUCGGGGCAGGGUGAGUCGACCCCUAAGGCGAGGCCGAAAGGCGUAGUCGAUGGGAAACAGGUUAAUAUUCCUGUACUUGGUGUUACUGCGAAGGGGGGACGGAGAAGGCUAUGUUAGCCGGGCGACGGUUGUCCCGGUUUAAGCAUGUAGGCUGAUUGUCCAGGCAAAUCCGGAUAAUCAAGGCUGAGGUGUGAUGACGAGGCACUACGGUGCUGAAGUAACAAAUGCCCUGCUUCCAGGAAAAGCCUCUAAGCAUCAGGUAACAUCAAAUCGUACCCCAAACCGACACAGGUGGUCAGGUAGAGAAUACCAAGGCGCUUGAGAGAACUCGGGUGAAGGAACUAGGCAAAAUGGUGCCGUAACUUCGGGAGAAGGCACGCUGGUGUGUAGGUGAAGCCCCUGCGGAUGGAGCUGAGACCAGUCGAAGAUACCAGCUGGCUGCAACUGUUUAUUAAAAACACAGCACUGUGCAAACACGAAAGUGGACGUAUACGGUGUGACGCCUGCCCGGUGCCGGAAGGUUAAUUGAUGGGGUUAUCCGUAAGGAGAAGCUCUUGAUCGAAGCCCCGGUAAACGGCGGCCGUAACUAUAACGGUCCUAAGGUAGCGAAAUUCCUUGUCGGGUAAGUUCCGACCUGCACGAAUGGCGUAAUGAUGGCCAGGCUGUCUCCACCCGAGACUCAGUGAAAUUGAACUCGCUGUGAAGAUGCAGUGUACCCGCGGCAAGACGGAAAGACCCCGUGAACCUUUACUAUAGCUUGACACUGAACAUUGAGCCUUGAUGUGUAGGAUAGGUGGGAGGCUUUGAAGCGUGGACGCCAGUCUGCGUGGAGCCAACCUUGAAAUACCACCCUUUAAUGUUUGAUGUUCUAACGUUGGCCCCUUACCGGGGUUGCGGACAGUGUCUGGUGGGUAGUUUGACUGGGGCGGUCUCCUCCCAAAGCGUAACGGAGGAGCACGAAGGUUAGCUAAUCCUGGUCGGACAUCAGGAGGUUAGUGCAAUGGCAUAAGCUAGCUUGACUGCGAGCGUGACGGCGCGAGCAGGUGCGAAAGCAGGUCAUAGUGAUCCGGUGGUUCUGAAUGGAAGGGCCAUCGCUCAACGGAUAAAAGGUACUCCGGGGAUAACAGGCUGAUACCGCCCAAGAGUUCAUAUCGACGGCGGUGUUUGGCACCUCGAUGUCGGCUCAUCACAUCCUGGGGCUGAAGUAGGUCCCAAGGGUAUGGCUGUUCGCCAUUUAAAGUGGUACGCGAGCUGGGUUUAGAACGUCGUGAGACAGUUCGGUCCCUAUCUGCCGUGGGCGCUGGAGAAUUGAGGGGGGCUGCUCCUAGUACGAGAGGACCGGAGUGGACGCAUCACUGGUGUUCGGGUUGUCAUGCCAAUGGCACUGCCCGGUAGCUAAAUGCGGAAGAGAUAAGUGCUGAAAGCAUCUAAGCACGAAACUUGCCCCGAGAUGAGUUCUCCCUGAGACUUUAAGUCUCCUGAAGGAACGUUAAAGACGAUGACGUUGAUAGGCCGGGUGUGUAAGCGCAGCGAUGCGUUGAGCUAACCGGUACUAAUGAACCGUGAGGCUUAACCUUACAACGCCGAAG